rnacentral:miRNA from 11 species
AUGUAUGUGUGUGUGUGUGUGUGUGUGUGUGUAUAUAUAUACACACACACACACACACACACAUACAUACAUACAUACAUAC